GAUGAACGCUAGCGGCAGGCUUAAUACAUGCAAGUCGAGGGGCAGCAUGAUUGUAGCAAUACAAUUGAUGGCGACCGGCAAACGGGUGCGGAACACGUACACAACCUUCCAAUAAGUGGGAAUAGACCAGAGAAAUUUGGAUUAAUACCCCGUAACAUAACGAUGUGGCAUCACAAUGUUAUUAUAGAUUUUUUGCUUAUUUAUGGGUGUGCGGCUGAUUAGAUAGUUGGAGGGGUAACGGCCCACCAAGUCUACGAUCAGUAGCUGAUGUGAGAGCAUGAUCAGCCACACGGGCACUGAGACACGGGCCCGACUCCUACGGGAGGCAGCAGUAAGGAAUAUUGGACAAUGGACGCAAGUCUGAUCCAGCCAUGCCGCGUGAAGGAUCAAGGUCCUCUGGAUUGUAAACUUCUUUUAUAAGGGACGAAAAAAGGCUUUUCUAAGUCGUCUGACGGUACCUUAUGAAUAAGCACCGACUAACUCCGUGCCAGCCGCCGCCGUAAUAC
rnacentral:rRNA from 1 species